rnacentral:rRNA from 1 species
UGCAAGUCGAACGCUAUCUUUGAUAGAGUGGCGCACGGGUGAGUAACACGUGGGAAUCUGCCCUUUUGUUCGGGACAACAGUUGGAAACGACUGCUAAUACCGGAUACGCCCUUCGGGGGAAAGGUCCGCCGCAGAAGGAGGAGCCCGCGUCCGAUUAGCUUGUUGGUAGGGUAAUGGCCUACCAAGGCGACGAUCGGUAGCUGGUCUGAGAGGAUGAUCAGCCACACUGGGACUGAGACACGGCCCAGACUCCUACGGGAGGCAGCAGUGGGGAAUAUUGGACAAUGGGGGCAACCCUGAUCCAGCAAUGCCGCGUGUGUGAUGAAGGCCUUAGGGUUGUAAAGCACUUUCACUGGUGAAGAUGAUGACGGUAACCAGAGAAGAAGCCCCGGCUAACUUCGUGCCAGCAGCCGCGGUAAUACGAAGGGGGCGAGCGUUGUUCGGAAUUACUGGGCGUAAAGGGAGCGCAGGCGGUUCAUUUAGUUAGGCGUGAAAGCCCCGGGCUCAACCUGGGAACUGCGCUUAAUACUGAUGAACUAGAAAACAGAAGAGGGUAGUGGAAUUCCCAGUGUAGAGGUGAAAUUCGUAGAUAUUGGGAAGAACACCGGUGGCGAAAGCGGCUACCUGGUCUGA